AUUGAACGCUGGCGGCAGGCCUAACACAUGCAAGUCGAGCGAGUGGCGGACGGGUGAGUAAUGAAUGGGAAUCUGCCUGAUGGAGGGGGAUAACUACGGGAAACUGUAGCUAAUACCGCGUACCAUAGGAUGAGCCCAUAUGGGAUUAGGUGGUUGGUGAGGUAAAGGCUCACCAAGGCGACGAUCCCUAGCUGGUCUGCGAGGAUGAACAGCCAAACUGUGACUGAGACACGGCCCAGACUCCUACGGGAGGCAGCAGUGGGGAAUAUUGCGCAAUGGGGGCAACCUGAUGCAGCCAUGCCGCGUGAAUGAAGAAGGCCUUCGGGUUGUAAAGUUCUUUCGGUAGCGAGGCGUUAACUACAGAAGAAGCACCGGCUAACUCCGUGCCAGCAGCCGCGGUAAUUC
rnacentral:rRNA from 1 species